AUGCCUUUCAAGGACCAAAGAGAUCUUUCUUCCAGUCCGGGCUGCAGAAUGUUGAGAAUACUGAAGGAAGGGGAGUACAGAAGCAGCAAGUCAGAGAUGGAUGAAACUUUGUAUAUAAAGGACACCAGUGGACUGAACUUAGUGAAUAACCGCUGGUUUUCACCGGCACCAUUCAGGGAUAGCUGGACGGGGUAAAUCUCUUGAAGGAGGAAGAUAC
rnacentral:lncRNA from 1 species